AGUAAGGAUAAGACAAUACGAAUGUUAAGAAAUAUUUAAUGAGAAAGUGUCUCUGUAUUAAACGCCGGUGUUUCAGGGGCGAACAUUCUGCGUAUGUCAUGAGUGCCGAUCAAGAACACCUUCUGAUAUUAUCCGAGGUGUUACGAAUUUAACUUCCUUUCUCCUGCUGCAGCCGAAUUUUUUGGCGAAAAUUUUACCUUUCUUCAUUUUGAGUGAAUUUAGCAAGGAAAACAUAGAAAAAACAACAGCAAAAGGAUGACUUUAAUGUUGCAGUGCUGAAGGCUUUAGAAUCAGAAACAGCUUACAGAAAAGGAAAGGGCCAGAAGACUCAGCCUUUGAUGCAAAUAAUUAUGCUUGAAGAUGAUGGGAAUCUUGUGAGACUUCUUUCUUCUGCACCAGAGUCGGCAUCAAAGUUGGUUGCAAUUGAGAAAGAUGAAUGUAUUGUGAAACAUGGCUAUUGUUUGUGAUGGUACACACAUUCUUCUAAAGACAGCCGAUUCAAUAGGGGCCCUAGCUGUGUCGAUUGAUUUGUAUUACCUUGCAGACCUAGAUUAUUCAAAGGCAUAUUCACAGGUGCGUGGGUUCCUUCAGCAAACUGAACUUCAGCACCAGUUUGAUGGGCAUAAGAGCUAUGGAUUUGUUCAAUAUUUAAAGAGAAUGAACAUGGAAAUGGAGAGAAAAGAAAAGAAGCCAAUGUGACUUAAGUGAUCCAGCUAUCAUAAAAGGAAAAGUUGAACUUUAAUUUCAUUUGGAUAAUUAUCAGUUUACACUUCCUCAGAAGUAUGUUUUACUUAACUAUAAUCUUUUUUGAGAGUCGUUAAUGAUGCCUUUAUAUGUAACUAUUCACACUCUUCAUCAUAAGUAUUUUUGAAGAACUGAUUUCAUAAAUUAGAUGUGAUAUUUGCCAGCUGAAAACAUUAUUGAGGGGUGAACAUCUCAUC